UGUGCUGUGUUAGCUCCGCCUGCAGAGGGGGUUUUCUUUCUUCUGGUCUCACUUCCCCUCCCUCGGGAACGUGGUGGAGCUGCCAUUUUGAGGAAUAUUGAGAAAUAAGGAAGAAAUAUUGAGGAAUAAGGAAGAAAGAAGGUCUUUUUCACACGAGAGUUAGGGGUAAACUAUAAGGUGGAACCCAACAAAAUGUUUCAUCGGGAUGACUCAAGAGAUUUCCCUGUUCUUGCUGAAGCAGAUAGCCAGAGCCAGCAGCAUGAUAGAUCCCAGCCAGAUAGAUCCCAAAGAGGAUGCAGGCAGCUGACUUCGGCAUGGAAAGAAAUAGCUGAAACCAGGGCAAUGGAAGCUUACAGAUUUACAAGCCGUGCCCCACCUACCAGCACACACUCUGCUGGUGAACGUCCCUUGGGGCUGUUUCUAAUUCAUGCAGUGACAGAGAGUGGAAAGGCUGUGCAACUGCUGGCUGGGCUUGACAACCAUCGGUUGCAGCGUGAACCACCUCGAUGUUGGGUCAGGGACUGUACCGAGCAGGCCUGCUCAACAAAUCAUGCUUCUGGAAGGCAUCUGUCGCAACAGAAUUUCCCAGCUGAGGAAGAUUGCUUGAGCUCCUUGAUAAGAGAGGAAUUUUUUUCAAUGGAUGAAGGCUGUGAUGACUCUGGGACAGCCAGCACCCAGGCAGAUGUUACCGGUGAUGAUGCUAUCACAAGUUUUGCAAAGGAGUAUUCACUAGUUCCCUUAAAUAAGCAAAAGGGAUAUUCUGCUCAGAAUUUUGACCAGCAAGUAGAAAGCUAUUUUGAAGGGAUCUGAGCUUCAGCACAUCUGUUUGUAAUUUGGGAUCCGAAUCUGUUGGAGAUGCAAAUGCCAGUCUUCAUGUACACAGUUUAUAGCAACAUAGACUAAACCCUGCAUUAAAACCAUGAAGGUUCAAAUAGGGUAAAGCCCAGUAUAUUUCUCUUAGAUUGGCAACCAGCUAAAAAGACAAAAACUGGAACGGAAAUAGAUCCCUCAUAUGAGUUGCUGCCUUCUUGGGGAGUUUAGAAACCUGUAAUAAUCAUAAGGCAUUAAAAAUGGGAAAAUGACUUUGAGUCUAAGCUAAUGUAAUGACUAUUUCUUUUGCAAUUGUGAGGGAAAUACCAAGAAAUAUGGUUGUAUUUUGUCUCUUUCUCAGCAGUAGAGUCUCAUUUUAAUAAGUUCUUGAAGAAUAUUUGAAAUUCAAAGCCCUUGUAUAUGCCAGUAUUUCCUUUCACUAAGUGCUUUAAUUUACUCUAUAGAGGCCUAGAGGGUUUAGUGUUUGUGUUUUUUUUGUGUUUUUUUUUUUAUUUUUAUUGAUCUACAUCUUAAAAAUUCUAAUCCAAUGCAUAUAUUUUGUUAUUGUACAUAGCUGUUUAUAGAUGAAUAAUGUGAAACAAUAGGGCACAUCCUACUUAAAAAUGGGGGGGGAGUAACAAAAAACAGACCCACUAGCUGGGGUUAAUUGUUCAUGUGAAAUGAAUAAUAUCCUUGUAAUAAACAUUUAUUUUUCUGUUGUGUUCGUGAGAUAGUGUGUAGCUGAACACAAGUGAAGAUCUAGGGACCUAGGUUUCUCAGUUUAGAACUCUUGUCUUUAGUCAAUGGGUGGACUUCUAGAAAUGCAGCCUAGCCUAGCAGUAAAGCUACAAUGUGUGGUUACUGGAAGGUGGGUACCUGACUGGUGAUUUGUCAUGUUAGUUGGAAAUUUUUCCUGUUGGCAGAGCUUGGUUAUGUCUCAGAGUUGGUGCUCUUUAUGAUAUAGUGGAGAUAAUUGAAAACUAGAUCUUUGAAGCAAGACUUUUUUGGUACUGCUUUUCUUUCUCUACCUUGCUAGGUGGAGGAUUAUGUAGCUUUUUUAUUACUGCUUACUGGAUUUGGAUAGCUUCUGCUACAACUAUCUCUUUAAUGAUGUUAAAUGCUUGCACUGUAUUGCUUCUUGUGUGGUUAAACUUCUGCAAAUUAAGUGUACCUCUUCUGCUUUGGAUAAUAGGAGCAGCAAUAAGGUGGUGGCUGUCCACCUGAUGCUACUUACAUCCUAAUCCAACAUACCAAACAACCCACUAUGCCUAACCUGUAGGGAAGGCUUGUUGACUUCAUUUAACCUGCACUGAGCUUAAAAUUAAACUUGUGUUUAAAAUUA